CCAAUAAUUUUAUCUCUCUUUAGCACUCCCUUCUCCGCUCUCGCCAUAGCUUUUCUUCACCGUUGCAGUGCCUUCACCCAGAUUAAUUUCUGUCUUUUUUUUCUCUUAAAGUGUUUUGAAUCAAAUUUUUGCUCUUUUCUUAAAUUUUUGAAGUUAAAUUUUUCCUGGUAAUUUUCGUUUCCGAUCAUUUCUAUUUUUUCUCUCGGAAAAAUUCUCACUUUAAUAUUUUUUGGGGUUUUGAGAAUUGGAAGCGAGGGGUCAGAAAUGGGAAAUUGGAGAAGAAUAAAAGGUUAUGUGCUGCGAAAAUCCUGAUAAACAAAAGCAUUUUUUAAGAAGAUAAACAAAAGAAUAAAAAGAAAGAAUGACAGAAAUGGAUCCGUCGAAGAAAGUGGCCGACAGGUAUUUGAAGCGCGAGGUUCUUGGUGAAGGCACUUAUGGUGUCGUCUACAAAGCUAUUGAUACUAAGACAGGGCAGACAGUUGCAAUUAAGAAAAUUCGGCUUGGGAAGCAAAAGGAAGGGAUCAAUUUUACAGCACUCAGAGAAAUUAAACUUCUUAAGGAGCUCAAAGAUCCAAAUAUAAUUGAGUUAAUAGAUGCAUUCCCACAUAAGGGUAACUUGCAUCUGGUGUUUGAAUUCAUGGAGACUGACCUUGAAGCUGUUAUUCGAGAUCGUAAUAUAUUCCUCUCACCGGCUGACAUCAAAUCGUACAUUCAGAUGACGUUGAAAGGGCUUGCUUUUUGCCACAAGAAAUGGGUUUUACAUAGGGAUAUGAAGCCAAAUAAUUUGCUAAUAGGACCCAAUGGACAACUUAAACUUGCAGACUUUGGUUUAGCACGCAUUUUUGGGAGCCCAGAUCGUAAGUUUACUCACCAGGUCUUUGCUCGAUGGUACAGAGCUCCUGAGUUACUUUUUGGUACCAAGCAAUAUGGUUCUGGUGUGGAUGUUUGGGCGGCUGCCUGUAUAUUUGCUGAACUUCUCCUACGACGACCAUUUCUGCAGGGCACCAGUGACAUUGAUCAAUUAGGAAAGAUCUUUGCAGCUUUUGGGACACCAACAUCUUCUCAAUGGCCAGAUAUGGUCUACCUUCCUGAUUAUGUAGAAUACCAAUAUGUUCCUGCACCUUCUUUGCGUUCAUUGUUUCCAAUGGCCAGUGAUGAUGCUCUAGAUCUUUUAUCAAAAAUGUUCACUUAUGACCCAAAAGUGAGGAUUUCUGUGCAGCAAGCAUUAGAGCACAGGUAUUUUUCAUCUGCACCUCCACCUACAGAUCCGCCAAAGCUCCCUAGGCCUAAUCCUAAAUUGCGAGUGUCAGAUUUUAAUCCCCAGGAGGGUCCCACUGUUCUUUCUCCCCCACGAAAGUCAAGGAGAGUAAUGCCGGAUCGUGAUAGGUUUGAAGGUAAUUCUCACCAAGCUGAGAAGAUUGAUGAGCAUGUUGGUGAGAGACAGGCAGUUGGUGACAUUGCAGGAAAGAAUGAACAGGUGCCAAUGUCAAUAGAUUUUUCAAUCUUUGGCUCAAAACCUCUGAGUAGACCUACAAUUAAUAGAAAAUUCAGAAUUGUGCUUUGGUGUAUCUGCCAUUUCAAGUCUCGAUUUAGACAAUCUAGCACAAGGAGUAUGAUCUUUAGGGGUGUGGAUUAGCAGGGGUGUUGGAUUCGCUUGGAUGUGCAUUAUUGGAGUUAGUUGGGACCUCUACUUUGUCAUUUACCCUGUCUGCUUGUCAUCUUUAUGGGCGUAUUUGUAUUGUGCUGAUAGAUCUCACUUGAAGAGGAAACUUGAUCUUGAAUUCCAACACAAUGAAUAAGAAAAACCUACAUAUCCAUAUCCAAGCAUCUUUUGCGGUGAUGUGUUUUGGCUGCAGCGAUAUUUAUGAGCUGUAUUUAGGCUCCUCGAAGAUUUUGUUAAUUACUCUGUGCAAUCUGCUUUUCCAUUUUCUUUAUCUGCAAUUGGGGUUUUUAUUGGUAGGUGCCCUCCUGCCUUGGUAUCGUGAGGAAGCAGUUACCAUCGAAGCUGAAGAUGAUUAUUUUUCAGAGGAUUCUCUUUGGCUCUCAAAUAACUGUAAAGAAAAGAGAGAAAAGUGGCUUCUAUUAACAUUUUUAUGAAAUAUGUAUUAAAAUUUUUUUCGGAGGAAAAAUUUUGAAUACAACUUUGUUCUCCCUAUAACAAGACAAGUGGGAAAAACCUUUACCCAACAAAGAGAAGAAAAAAAAGAAGAGUAUUUGUUGCUUGA